UUAAGUUAAUAAGGGCGCACGGUGGAUGCCUUGGCACUAGGAGCCGACGAAGGACGUGACAAACGACGAUAUGCCUUGGGUAGCUGUAAGUAAGCGAUGAUCCAGGGAUUUCCGAAUGGGGGAACCCAACAGGUANNNNNNNNNNNNNNNNNNNNNNNACAUCUGUUAAGGAUGUGAGGAGGAAGACGCAGUGAACUGAAACAUCUAAGUAGCUGCAGGAAGAGAAAGCAAAAGCGAUUGCCUUAGUAGCGGCGAGCGAAACGGCAGAAGGGCAAACCGAAGAGUUUACUCUUCGGGGUUGUAGGACUGCAAUGUGGACUCAAAGAUUAUAGAAGAAUGAUUUGGGAAGAUCAGCCAAAGAGAGUAAUAGCCUCGUAUUUAAAAUAGUCUUUGUACUUAGCAGUAUCCUGAGUACGGCGGGACACGUGAAAUCCCGUCGGAAUCUGGGAGGACCAUCUCCCAACCCUAAAUACUCCCUAGUGACCGAUAGUGAACCAGUACCGUGAGGGAAAGGUGAAAAGCACCCCGGGAGGGGAGUGAAAUAGAACCUGAAACCGUGUGCCUACAACAAGUUCGAGCCCGUUAAUGGGUGAGAGCGUGCCUUUUGUAGAAUGAACCGGCGAGUUACGUUAUGAUGCGAGGUUAAGUUGAAGAGACGGAGCCGUAGGGAAACCGAGUCUGAAUAGGGCGCCUUAGUAUCAUGACGUAGACCCGAAACCAUGUGACCUACCCAUGAGCAGGUUGAAGGUGCGGUAAGACGCACUGGAGGACCGAACCAGGGCACGUUGAAAAGUGCUUGGAUGACUUGUGGGUAGCGGAGAAAUUCCAAACGAACUUGGAGAUAGCUGGUUCUCUCCGAAAUAGCUUUAGGGCUAGCGUCGACAUUAGAGAUUCUUGGAGGUAGAGCACUGUUUGGGUGAGGGGUCCAUCCCGGAUUACCAAUCUCAGAUAAACUCCGAAUGCCAAUGAAUUAUGGUCGGCAGUCAGACUGCGAGUGCUAAGAUCCGUAGUCGAAAGGGAAACAGCCCAGACCACCAGCUAAGGUCCCAAAAUAAUUGUUAAGUGGAAAAGGAUGUGGGGUUGCACAGACAACUAGGAUGUUAGCUUAGAAGCAGCUAUUCAUUCAAAGAGUGCGUAAUAGCUCACUAGUCGAGUGACCCUGCGCCGAAAAUGUACCGGGGCUAAAACAAUUUACCGAAGCUGUGGAUACCUUUAUAGGUAUGGUAGGAGAGCGUUCUAUGUGUGAUGAAGGUAUACCGUGAGGAGUGCUGGAACGCAUAGAAGUGAGAAUGCCGGUAUGAGUAGCGAAAGACAGGUGAGAAUCCUGUCCACCGUAAGACUAAGGUUUCCAGGGGAAGGCUCGUCCGCCCUGGGUUAGUCGGGACCUAAGGAGAGACCGAAAGGUGUAUCCGAUGGACAACAGGUUGAUAUUCCUGUACUAGAGUAUGUAGUGAUGGAGGGACGCAGUAGGCUAACUAAAGCAGACGAUUGGAAGAGUCUGUCUAAGCAGUGAGGUGUGAAUUGAGUCAAAUGCUUAAUUCUAUAACAUUGAGCUGUGAUGGGGAGCGAAGUUUAGUAGCGAAGUUAGUGACGUCACACUGCCAAGAAAAGCUUCUAGCGUUUAAACAUACUCUACCCGUACCGCAAACCGACACAGGUAGUCGAGGCGAGUAGCCUCAGGUGAGCGAGAGAACUCUCGUUAAGGAACUCGGCAAAAUGACCCCGUAACUUCGGGAGAAGGGGUGCUGACUUAAAGUCAGCCGCAGUGAAUAGGCCCAAGCAACUGUUUAUCAAAAACACAGCUCUCUGCUAAAUCGUAAGAUGAUGUAUAGGGGGUGACGCCUGCCCGGUGCUGGAAGGUUAAGAGGAGUGCUUAGCGUAAGCGAAGGUAUGAAUUGAAGCCCCAGUAAACGGCGGCCGUAACUAUAACGGUCCUAAGGUAGCGAAAUUCCUUGUCGGGUAAGUUCCGACCCGCACGAAAGGCGUAAUGAUUUGGGCACUGUCUCAACGAGAGACUCGGUGAAAUUUUAGUACCUGUGAAGAUGCAGGUUACCCGCGACAGGACGGAAAGACCCCAUGGAGCUUUACUGCAGUUUGAUAUUGAGUGUCUGUACCACAUGUACAGGAUAGGUAGGAGUCUAAGAGAUCGGGACGCCAGUUUCGAAGGAGACGCUGUUGGGAUACUACCCUUGUGUUAUGGCCACUCUAACCCAGAUAGGUGAUCCCUAUCGGAGACAGUGUCUGACGGGCAGUUUGACUGGGGCGGUCGCCUCCUAAAAGGUAACGGAGGCGCCCAAAGGUUCCCUCAGAAUGGUUGGAAAUCAUUCGCAGAGUGUAAAGGUAUAAGGGAGCUUGACUGCGAGAGCUACAACUCGAGCAGGGACGAAAGUCGGGCUUAGUGAUCCGGUGGUUCCGUAUGGAAGGGCCAUCGCUCAACGGAUAAAAGCUACCCUGGGGAUAACAGGCUUAUCUCCCCCAAGAGUUCACAUCGACGGGGAGGUUUGGCACCUCGAUGUCGGCUCGUCGCAUCCUGGGGCUGUAGUCGGUCCCAAGGGUUGGGCUGUUCGCCCAUUAAAGCGGCACGCGAGCUGGGUUCAGAACGUCGUGAGACAGUUCGGUCCCUAUCCGUCGCGGGCGUAGGAAAUUUGAGAGGAUCUGCUCCUAGUACGAGAGGACCAGAGUGGACUUACCGCUGGUGUACCAGUUGUCUUGCCAAAGGCAUCGCUGGGUAGCUAUGUAGGGAAGGGAUAAACGCUGAAAGCAUCUAAGUGUGAAACCCACCUCAAGAUGAGAUUUCCCAUGAUUAUAUAUCAGUAAGAGCCCUGAGAGAUGAUCAGGUAGAUAGGUUAGAAGUGGAAGUGUGGCGACACAUGUAGCGGACUAAUACUAAUAGCUCGAGGACUUAUCCAA
rnacentral:rRNA from 1 species